AUCAACUUCUACUUUCGCAACUUCUUGUCUAUGUGGAAAAGACUCAAGGGUCCAACACAGGCUUCAUCUGCGCACAGACCCAAGCGGCCUUCCAGCGCCUUCGCCUUCACGGUGACACCUCCUCCAGCCCUGCCCCUGGCGACCGUGCAACAGCCCUGGGCCAAGUGGAGCAACGACUACACAGCCAAGUUGUACCAGAGAAUGAUUCAGUAUAUGCUUUUCAUCUUUUAGCGCACUUUAACUACCGAAAAUUCGGAAAAGUGUCAGCAUCCAGUAACCAGCAAGGUCUACCGUGUGUCCCACCCGAAUCAUCAGCUGGUUAUCAGGCCACAGCUGUAGGAUACCACAUGUCAAGGAGGAGCUCUCACUAUGUACAUGAUGCUUCCUUCUUGUUAGAAAAAAUAAAAAUAUAUAUAUUCUUUUCUGACUUCCCUAAAGGAGCAAAAUUGCCAAGCAGGAAGCAAACUGUGUUAAGAGAUAAAGGGAGUUAUAAUCACAGGCUUAGUACCAGCACAGAAGUCUCUAAGAGCAACUGCACUCAGAAAAAAAUUACUCAGUAAACAUCUGAAUGUCUGCUAAACCAAAAAUAUGACUCAUUAGGUACCAACUGACUGUCAGUGACUACUGUUUGUUUGUUCUCAAUUUUUAUUUAAUUCUUCUAACUCAGAUAAAUAAAUCUUGCUCCAGCCCUAAUGUGUGACUCA
rnacentral:lncRNA from 1 species